GACGAACGCUGGCGGCGUGCUUAACACAUGCAAGUCGAACGAAGUGGCGAACGGGUGAGUAACGCGUAAUCAACCUGCCCUUCAGAGGGGGACAACAGUUGGAAACGACUGCUAAUACCGCAUAAUGAAGGUGGGGAUUGCGUUUGAUUGACUAGUUGGAGGGGUAACGGCCCACCAAGGCGAUGGUCAGUAGCCGGUCUGGGAGGAUGAACGGCCAACUUGGGACCGGAAAAAGGCCCAGACUCCUACGGGAGGCAGCAGUGGGGAAUCUUCCGCAAUGGACGAAAGGCUGACGGAGCAACGCCGCGUGGGUGAUGACGGCCUUCGGGUUGUAAAGCUCUGUUAAUCGGGACGCGGUACCGGAAUAGAAAGCCACGGCUAACUACGUGCCAGCAGCCGCGGUAAUUC
rnacentral:rRNA from 1 species